UACGGGGGUAGCAAGCGUUGUUCGGAUUUACUGGGCGUAAAGGGCGCGUAGGCGGCCAGCACAAGUCAGUUGUGAAAUCUCCGGGCUUAACUCGGAAAGGUCAACUGAUACUGUGCGGCUAGAGUGCAGAAGGGGCAACUGGAAUUCUCGGUGUAGCGGUGAAAUGCGUAGAUAUCGAGAGGAACACCUGCGGCGAAGGCGGGUUGCUGGGCUGACACUGACGCUGAUGCGCGAAAGCCAGGGGAGCGAACGGG
rnacentral:rRNA from 1 species